GUGUCUUUUGAAAGGAGAGCAGGUUAGCACUCCCCUUGACAAGGAUGGAACAAACCUGGGAAGGAAGGCACAAAUUUCCUUUCCCAUCACUUUUU